rnacentral:lncRNA from 1 species
GAAAUGGAGGCGGUCACGCGGUUCACAGAGGGUGGGUGAGUACCCCUCAUGGCAGCUGUGAUGAUACUCAUGUGAGCAGCUUCCCUUCAGCCCUCUCACUCCCGUUCCCUCCCCUGAGGGAGCCUGUCCUCCAGUCUGGCUGUGGGGACCCACUGGACCUUCUUGAUGGUGCCCCUUCUUCUGCAGCCCCCCAGCCCAGGCUGCUCCUCGGGCAGGAGAUGAACAAUUCUGCAGCAGCAGGCCCAUCCUAGACCCCACCUGGCCCUCUGGAGGGCCCCUCCAAGGAGCCCUCACCCCGCCCCCCCACCAUGCUGCCCCUGCAGGUGGCCCUCCGGGUACCACAUGGUGCCUCUCAGUAGGCCCCCAUUCUGGCCCUUGGUCCCGGCAGAAUAAUGAGACGCUGCAGUUCAGCGUGGAGGCCUUCAUGCUCGACGAGGAUGAGGUGAGGCGAAGCCUGGGAGGUCUGG